UUAUGCUGCAAUUCUCAGAGUUUAUUUCUGCCACUUUGCUGAUUUCAUGCAACCAGUGACCUUUCUGUAUCUUUAUUUCUAACACUGUAACCAAAAUACUGUGUCUUCCACCAAUUUCUUUGUAAGCAUGAAUCACUCAACAUCUGCAAAUCAUUUGCAUCAUCCAGGGAAGAGCAUGAUGUAAGUACAAGGGAGUUGUAAAAGAAAAACAAAACAAAACAAAAUCCAGGAGCUAAUUUCCUCUAAAGAGCAGUGAUAUUUAGAGAGCAUCAUUCUGACUUUUUUCAUAUAUAGUUUGAAAACACAAGUUUUCUUGCGUCCAAAGAAGCAGGUGAAUUCUUUGCCAGGAAAACAGUGAAAAGCAAACAAUGAUUCCUUCACAGUCCUCACAGAAGUUGAAACAUGCAGAGGAAAGGCAAACACUUGAGAUAUUCAGGUUUGGGAGGAGUAUACCAAGAAGACAACUAGCACAGAACAUCUUAUGAUGUCCUCCUACAGACCCUCUGUGAAGAUCGAUCUUCUAACCUUCCCACUGACAUAACCUUAUGACUAGGUACCUGGAAACUUUCGAUGAGGGAUGACUUCAUUCCUGUCUGCUUCUAUGUGAACCCCCUUGUCACUGAUUUCUACUUAAAACCAUUUAUGACUCUAACAGAUGUUUCUGAUUUAGAAAGAGUACUUUUUAAAGCCAUUUCUUUCUAACUUCCUCUCUCAUGAUUCUCCCUCCCUGCUCCUUGCAGGAGCUAAUUCCAGGUAGGUUGGAAAUUACAAGCAUGUUGUUUAGUGCCCGGAAUGAUGUGUUGACUGAAGAGCAGAGGUAGGGCUUGAACCAGGGUCCUGAGGAACAGUCUUCAGUAUAUUGGAAUAUCAGUCUUAUGAGAAACGUGCUAUGCAGAAGCUUGAUUUUCCUUCAGUCCAACUUAAUUUUAAGAGUCUCUAACUGAGACUGGCAGUUCCGGGCCCCUGGCUGCUCCAGCACAAUUUAUCAGCACAAGGUCAGAGAAUUCUUUUGAGCCUGUUUCUCAUGAGCAGUGAUAAUUAUGUAUGUAGACAGCCCUACUCAUAUUAUGUAAUUCACUGAAUAAAGUGGGGAGAAUGGUUUUGAUUUACAAUCAGAAGCACCGUCACCAGAGCCAAACAUGUCCAACAUCCGAGUAACCCAGGAGUCACCUCUCAUGUCCUGGAUCAGAUCUAUCAACACACCCCCAACGAGGACACAGCCUUCUCUUUAGGACUCCUGAUGGGCUUUCAGACUGACAAUUCAGAAAUGUGUCGUUGAUGUAGGCCACAUUCAGGGGAGAAUGCUUUCUGGGAUUCCUCACUCAUCAGCCUGAAUAGGGGUGCUUUGGUAGCAGGAAAUAUCUCUAGAUAAUGCAUUCUUCUAAUUUCUUUUUCAAAUACUCUAACAUCUUAAGUAUUAAUCAGGGAAAGUCCUAGUUUUCCUUUUCAGAGUGACUCACCCAUUUGGCUGAGGUUUUGGCUGUGGGAAAGGAUGAACUCUGUCCAAUUCAUUGAAAGACGAAGUGGAUCAAUGGUCCUGCUGCCCUCUGACUGGAUGAUAUUUAACUACACUCUACAAAAGCAUUUCCAAGCAGAGAGAAAUGGUGAACACCCAAUCCACUCCAGCUGUGGCCACUUUUCCAUUUUUCUUCAGGGACUAUUGCUGUUACU